rnacentral:lncRNA from 1 species
UGUAGAUUCGGAUGAUCAUAAUCUUGUUCAUCAGUUGAAUGAUCACUCUGAUCGAGAGUCGUGACGACCAUGAAAACCGAUAGAACAAAUGCUACUAGUAACCAAUACAUCUAGAUAAAAUAAGGAUAAUCUAAUUAAUCGAAAGAUAAUAUAAAAUAGAAAUAAAAUUAAUUCAAAUUCAUUAUACAUCGUCUACAUCAAAUAUUUGUCUAUGAAGUUUGUUUAAUACAAAACUCCUAUUAGAUUCAAUAGGAUCUAUUGAAUAAAAACAUUGUUUAGCUUGUUCGGCAAAAAUAAACGGUUCUUCCCCGUAUUUUGGCACAGACGUUUUCACACUAACCAGACCGAACUCGUCUUUUUUAAAUCCUUCGUACCAUUUGCAGUGAAACAUGGGAUAUUUCAACAUAUCGUGUCCGUAACAUACUUCGAAAACUUUGUGAAGAGUUCCAUGGUACGAAAGAUCAUCAAUUUUCGGAUCGUCAUUUGGAUUCUUUAAGUAUGUGGAUGUAGUGGCGGAGACUAAGACACCGUGAUUUUGUGUCUUUUUUAAAUCUGACACUUCAAACGAAAGAAAUUUCACACCGUUUAAGAUGUAGCCGUUGUACGAUUUUAUGAAGAAAUUUGGAGACUAAGACACCGUAAGGACAUGACUUUCAUCUUCUUCUUUGAUGGUCUCUCAUCGUUUUUGCCGAAAAUAAUAGAAUUUCUAAAAAAAUUCAAAUUCAGAAAUACCUCCUCUCCCAAGGGUCGUUUAGGCGCUUCUUCGUUUUCGAUUUUGUUAUUGAGAUCCUUUUUAUUACGUCUAUACGGAUGGUCUAUUUCCAAGAAACGACGGUGUCCAAGAAAAGACUCUUUCUUUCCAUAUUUCAAUCGAACACUACUCGUUUUUUCAGAACAAACUGCACAUGCCAAUUUUCCUUUCGUGCUCCAACCAGAAAGAUCACCAUAUCCAGGUUAAUCAUUAAUUGUCCACAUCACUGCAGCAUGCAUUUGAAAGCUAUUCUGAGUAACCACGUCAUAUGUAGUGACACCAGUGGUCCAUAAAAUUUUUAACUCAUCAAUCAGUGGUUGUAAGUAGACAUCUAUAUCAUUUCCAGGUGAGGUAGGCCCGGAAAUUAGAAGACUCAAAAUAAAAUUGGGUUGUUUCAUACACAUCCACGGAGGAAGAUUAUAAGGCAUAAGAACGACUGGCCACGUGUUAUGAGAAACUGACAUCAUACUAAAUGGAUUAAAUCCAUCGCUUGCAAGUCCCAAUCUGAUAUUACGUGGUUCAGAAGCAAAAUCGGGAUAUCGAUCGUCAAAUUGUGUCCAUUGCAAUGAAUCUGCCGGAUGACGAAGAAUUCCAUCUUUUUUCCGAUCAUUUUUAUGUCAAGUCAUUCCUGUAGAAAUAUCUUUACACAAAAACAAUCUUUUAAGUCGUGGUAUCAACGGAAAAUGUCUCAAAUAUUUGGCGGGAAUCCGUUUACUUUUUUCAUCAUCAUCAGCUUCGUUCAACCACCUUGAAACUCCACAUGUAGGACAACUUUUGCAAUCUUUAUAUUUUUUACGAUAAAUGAUACAAUCGUUCCGACAUGCAUCGAUCUUUUCAUACCGUAACCCCAAAUUACGAACAACUGACUUAGCUUGAUACAUAUUCUUCGGGAUCGUUUCUGUUCCAUUGGGAUGAGAUCGACGUAAAAUGGAUAACAACGUCUCAAAUGAUUUAUCGGACCACUGAUUGAUACACUUACAUUGAAAUAAUUCCAAAAUAAAAGAGAGCUUUGUAAAUUCAGUACAACCGGGCCAUAAUUCUUGUUCAGCGUCUUUCAACCGAUUAACAAAAGUCGAAUCAUAAUUUAAAUCUGGAAGAUCUUCAUUCGGUUCUGGAAGAUCUUCAUCAUUAUGAUCUGGAAUAUUUUCAAUCUCAUCAGGUCUACCCAUCGCCACGCAAACCAAAUUACGUAUUUCAUUGUUUGGUUCAUCUUCAACUAUUAUUUCUAUGUUUGGUUCUGAAUCGUAAGUUCGCUCACCAUGUUUCGUCCAUAUAACAUAAUGUGUCAACCAACCAUUCAUGAAUAUGUGUUGACGUAAAUCGGCAAUUGGAAUCACAUUUCUAUUGGUACAGUCUCUACAUGGACAUGGUAAAUAUCCUUCCUUAUAUAAACCAUGGCAUUUUCAUAAACCAUAUUGAACAAACGCCGUGAGACCAUCUCUGAAUUCUUGGCUACAGGGGCUCAAAGUUAACCAAGUCUUAUCAAGUACCCGGAUUUCUGACAUUCAACUGAAAUACAUACAAUUAUAAUUGAUUAAUAACCAAUUAUUUAAAAACUAACUAACAAUCAAACUUAUAGAAAAUCUGAUUGUUACUUUUUUUUAAAUUAUUAAUAAAUUAAUUAAUUAAAUUUAAUUAAAUAAUUAAAUAAUUAUUUAAAUAAAUGAUUUUAAUUUUUAGAUAAUUGUUUUCAACAUUGGAUUUUAAAUCAAGUUUUUAAUAUAAAAACUGAUUAAUGGAAUUUCCAAUAUUUUCUUAAUUAAUUAAUUAAUAAUUAAUUAAAUAAAUAAAUAAUAAUUAAUUACUAAUUAAUUAUUCAACAAUUACUUAAAAAUUAACUAACAGUCACACUUAUAAAAUCUGAUUGUUACUUUUUUAAUUAAUAAUUAAUUAAAUAAUUAUUUAAAUAUAAUUAAAUAAUUAUUUAUUUAAUUAUUAAUUAAAUAAAUUAUUUCAAUUUUUAAAUAAUUGUUUUCAACAUUGGAUUUUAAAUCAAGUUCUCAAUAUAAAAACUGAUUAAUGAAAUUUCCAAUAUUUUCUUAAUUAAUAAUUAAUUAAUUAUUAAUUAUUCAACAAUUAUUUAAAAAUUAACUAACAAUCACACUUAUAGAAAAUCUGAUUGUUACUUUUUUUAAUUAUUAAUUAAUUAAAUAAUUAUUUAAAGUUAAUUAAAUAAUUAUUUAUUUAAAUAAUUAUUAAUUAAAUAAAUGAUUUUAAUUUUGAAAUAAUUGUUGUUCAACAAUUAUUAAAAAAUUAACUUACCCUAACCCUAACCCUAAUUAAUUAAUAAAUUAUUUAAUUAUUUUUCAAUUAAAUAAUUAUUUACCUAAUUUUAUAUAAAAUCAUUACUAAACAUUUAUUUAACUAAUUUUUAAAUUUAUUUAAUUUUCUAUUUAAUUUAAAAUCAUGCAUUCAUUUUAACUCAUGCAUUCAUUUUAACACAUGCAUUCAUUUUAACUCAUAUAUUUCAAUUCAUUUCAUGGCAUUUCAUUAUUUCAUAGCAUUCAUUUCAAAAAAUUUGUAUUCAUUUUAAAUUCACACAAUUUAAGAACAUGCAUUUCAUUUUCCAAUUAUUUAAUUAACAUGCAAAUUAUAUUAACUAAUUAAUAAAUGAAUAAAAAAUAUUACAUUAAUCAUGGCAUUUCAUUAUUUCAUAGCAUUCAUUUCAAAAAAUUUGUAUUCAUUUUAAAUUCACACAAUUUAAGAACAUGCAUUUCAUUUUCCAAUUAUUUAAUUACCAUGCAAAUUAUAUUAACUAAUUAAUAAAUGAAUAAAAAAUAUUACAUUGAUCGAUCGAUGAAGAUUAAAACGCAAAUUGAAUUUCAACCGGAAAUGCUAAUUACAACUAUCCGUAAAUACCUACAAAAAAAUAUCAACACAUAACAUAUAUAUCGAUCAAUAAACACAACAAAACACAUAAAAUAUCAUAAACUAUAUAUCGCAACACAUAGUCAAUAUCAAAAGACCUUAAUUAAUUUGUAAAUUACAUACCUUAAUCAAAACAAACAACUGGCGUGAGAUGGUCCAACAACAAUUAAAAAGAGUUCGGCACAGCGGGGAACGGAGAUCAAUCAAAUUCAACCUAAAAAAUGACAUAAAUUAAAAGAGAAAAUUUAAAUAAUUA